UACAGAGGGUGCAAGCGUUGUUCGGAAUUACUGGGCGUAAAGGGCUCGUAGGCGGCCAACUAAGUCAGACGUGAAAUCCCUCGGCUUAACCGGGGAACUGCGUCUGAUACUGGAUGGCUUGAAUCCGGGAGAGGGAUGCGGAAUUCCAGGUGUAGCGGUGAAAUGCGUAGAUAUCUGGAGGAACACCGGUGGCGAAGGCGGCAUCCUGGACCAACACUGACGCUGAGGAGCGAAAGCUGGGGGAGCGAACAGG
rnacentral:rRNA from 1 species